GACGUGACGCCAGUUGCGUUGGAGCCGUCCUUGAAAUACCACCCUUGUAUGUUUGAUGUUCUAACUUAGACCCAUUAUCUGGGUUGAGGACAGUGCCUGGUGGGUAGUUUGACUGGGGCGGUCUCCUCCCAAAGAGUAACGGAGGAGCACGAAGGUGGGCUAAUCACGGUUGGACAUCGUGAGGUUAGUGCAAUGGCAUAAGCCCGCUUAACUGCGAGAAUGACGGUUCGAGCAGGUGCGAAAGCAGGUCAUAGUGAUCCGGUGGUUCUGUAUGGAAGGGCCAUCGCUCAACGGAUAAAAGGUACUCCGGGGAUAACAGGCUGAUACCGCCCAAGAGUUCAUAUCGACGGCGGUGUUUGGCACCUCGAUGUCGGCUCAUCACAUCCUGGGGCUGAAGUCGGUCCCAAGGGUAUGGCUGUUCGCCAUUUAAAGUGGUACGCGAGCUGGGUUUAGAACGUCGUG
rnacentral:rRNA from 1 species